GUAGGACUACCCGCUGAACUUAAGCAUAUCAAUAAGCGGAGGAAAAGAAACUAACAAGGAUUCCCCUAGUAACUGCGAGUGAAGCGGGAAAAGCUCAAAUUUAGAAUCUGGCAGCCUACGGUUGUCCGAGUUGUAGCCUAGAGAAGCGUUUUCUGCGUUGGACCAUGUACAAGUCCCUUGGAACAGGGCGUCAUAGAGGGUGAGAAUCCCGUACUUGACAUGGACUCCCAGGGCUAUGUGAUGCGCUCUCGAAGAGUCGGGUUGUUUGGGAAUGCAGCUCUAAAUGGGUGGUAAAUUCCAUCUAAAGCUAAAUAUUGGCGAGAGACCGAUAGCGAACAAGUACCGUGAGGGAAAGAUGAAAAGCACUUUGGAAAGAGAGUUAAACAGUACGUGAAAUUGUUGAAAGGGAAACGCUUGAAGUCAGUCGCGUCGGCCGGGACUCAGCCUUGAACGGUGCACUUCCCGGUGGACGGGCCAGCAUCAGUUUUGAUCGUCGGAAAAGGGUUUGAGGAAUGUGGCAUCUUCGGGUGUGUUAUAGCCUCUUGCUGCACGCGACGGUUGGGACUGAGGAUCGCAGCUUCGGCUUAGGAUGCUGGCGUAAUGGCUUUAAACGACCCGUCUUGAAACACGGACC
rnacentral:rRNA from 1 species